UGGAAUUAAGUGUUAAGCACGUUAGAUUUUGAUUCUAAAGGAAUCUUUC
rnacentral:tRNA from 1 species